rnacentral:rRNA from 1 species
CCUUACGGCCAUACCAACCUGAAUGCGCCCGAUCUUGUCUGAUCUCGGAAGCUAAGCAGGCUCAGGCCUGGUUAGUACUUGGAUGGGAGACCGCCUGGGACUACCAGGUGCUGUAAGCU